rnacentral:rRNA from 1 species
GAAGAAAGCGGGGGGCGUGCCUAAUACAUGCAAGUAGAACGCUGAAGGAGGAGCUUGCUCUUCUGGAUGAGUUGCGAACGGGUGAGUAACGCGUAGGUAACCUGCCUGGUAGCGGGGGAUAACUAUUGGAAACGAUAGCUAAUACCGCAUAAGAGUAGAUGUUGCAUGACAUUUACUUAAAAGGUGCAAUUGCAUCACUACCAGAUGGACCUGCGUUGUAUUAGCUAGUUGGUGGGGUAACGGCUUACCAAGGCGACGAUACAUAGCCGACCUGAGAGGGUGAUCGGCCACACUGGGACUGAGACACGGCCCAGACUCCUACGGGAGGCAGCAGUAGGGAAUCUUCGGCAAUGGACGGAAGUCUGACCGAGCAACGCCGCGUGAGUGAAGAAGGUUUUCGGAUCGUAAAGCUCUGUUGUAAGAGAAGAACGAGUGUGAGAGUGGAAAGUUCACACUGUGACGGUAUCUUACCAGAAAGGGACGGCUAACUACGUG